AACGAGUUAACAAGUGUAACAUUGGCAAUUUGUUAGCUAAUUUGCCAGAACAACGAACAGAGCGAACAAAUGGCAAAACUCUGGAAGAUGAAGUGAACUCCAGUUGGCUACUGAAGCGGGGGCAGUGACCACAUAGCAAAACAACAAAGGGAAAAAUCAACUUAAUGACAAAUAAGGAAAACAAAAGCCAACUACUACUACUAAAGGGAACUCUCUUGGAGGGAACCCAACUGAUUGAGGGAAGAACAACAACAGCAACAAGAAAGAAGAUGAAGAAGAGAAAAAAAAAUUGAAAUCAAGUCGCAGUGAGGCAAGUUCAACAACCUGAAGAAGAGCCAUCCCAUACCCCAGACCCCAGAGACAGAGACAGAGAGGCAGACAGAGAGAGAGAAAAGAACAUGAGAACAAACAUUUGAGGCCAAGAAGAGGCUUUGCCUCAAAACUGGCGAUUACUUCACUCACACCAUCUUGGCACCGGCAUCGACAUCAUUGUGGAUGUGGAUGUCGAUUCCGAUCCAAGAUCAUGAUGACGACCACGACCAAGACGAAGACGAAGAAAACAAUGAUGAUGAUGAUGAUGAUGAUGAAGAAGAUGCUGCUGCGGCUGCUGAAGAGACUUUGGCGAAAAUUGCCCACAAAAAGGGCGCCAAGAAACGGUACCUGGGGUAAAGGAAUCUCAUGCCCCACUCUAUUACCGGCUCCCAUCUUCUUACCUCUCCUCAUCCCAACUCUCAGUAAUCUUUACAAUUCAAAUCAAAAUAAUUUACGCGCCGGUGCAAAUUGUUUUCUUCUCUUACAUAUAAACAUUUUAUUUCCUUUAA